rnacentral:pre_miRNA from 1 species
GAAUGGAGGGUUUCGCGCGAAGGCAAGAUGUCGGCAUAGCUGACGUGCUAAUCCGAGUGUAGCUGUGUUACAUCGUGCCAACGUGAACCGCUCCCAAUGAC